rnacentral:rRNA from 1 species
AAAUUGAAGAGUUUGAUCAUGGCUCAGAUUGAACGCUGGCGGCAGGCCUAACACAUGCAAGUCGAACGGUAACAGGAAACAGCUUGCUGUUUCGCUGACGAGUGGCGGACGGGUGAGUAAUGUCUGGGAAAGUGCCUGAUGGAGGGGGAUAACUACUGGAAACGGUAGCUAAUACCGCAUAAUGUCGCAAGACCAAAGAGGGGGACCUUCGGGCCUCUUGCCAUCGGAUGUGCCCAGAUGGGAUUAGCU